rnacentral:rRNA from 1 species
UACGGAGGAUGCAAGCGUUAUCCGGAAUGAUUGGGCGUAAAGCGUCCGCAGGUGGCUAUGUAAGUCUGCUGUUAAAGAGCAAAGCUUAACUUUGUAAAAGCAGUGGAAACUACAUAGCUAGAGUGCGUUCGGGGCAGAGGGAAUUCCUGGUGUAGAGGUGAAAUUCGUAGAUAUUCGCAAGAACACCAGUGGCGAAGGCGCUCUACUGGGCCACAACUGACGCUGAGGGACGAAAGCUAGGGGAGCGAAAGGG